GUGUCAGCAGCCGCGGUAAAACGUAGGAGGCAAGCGUUAUCCGGAUUUACUGGGCGUAAAGCGCGUGCAGGCGGUUUCCUAAGUCGUGCGUGAAAGCUCCCUGGCUUAACCGGGAGAGGUCGUGCGAUACUGGGAAACUGGAGACAGAUAGAGGCAAGUAGAAUUCCGGGUGUAGUGGUGAAAUGCGUAGAUAUCCGGAGGAAUACCAGUGGCGAAGGCGGCUUGCUAGAUCUGUUCUGACGCUCAGACGCGAAAGCAUGGGGAGCGAACGGGAUUAGAUACCCUCGUAGUCC
rnacentral:rRNA from 1 species